rnacentral:snoRNA from 1 species
CCUGCCCCCAGAGGCAUUGCAGUUGUGUUUUCUGUGUCACAUGUGUGUCAAUACGAGCAGAGAGGCUAUGUCUACGCUCAGUGCUCUGAUCCACAACUGAAUGAUGAACAGCCUAAUAGU